rnacentral:misc_RNA from 1 species
AAGUCGUAACAAGGUUUCCGUAGGUGAACCUGCGGAAGGAUCAUUACCACGUUCCAAACGUAUCAACCAAUGUGAACUCCUUUUAAUUCUCCCAACCGUAGAGUGAAUGAGCUGAAUCGUACGCGUGCGUGUGCAGGGUCCUUAGUUGACCAGCGAGUACGAAACAACUUACGGCGCGAAAGCGUCGUAGACGGCUGUAUCACAUAACGGGUGGCUUUGUCCUUACUACCUUGGUCUCUGCACCGAUCGUGGGUAGUUUGGAGUCUUCACCAUUAACGAUAAUAACCGCAUUUUGCUAGUUGACUUAUUUCUGUUUGUCCUUGCUUCGGCACGGCGGACGCGUUUUUAAUUAAACAAAAUUACAACUCUUAGCAAUGGAUAUCUAGGUUCUC